AGGACGAACGCUGGCGGCGUGCUUAACACAUGCAAGUCACGGGGGCCCGCAAGGGCAACCGGCGAACGGGUGCGUAACACGUGAGCAACCUGCCGAUCUGUGGGGGAUAGCCGGGCUAACGCCCGGGUAAUACCGCAUACGGUUGCCGAGGGGAGUCCCUUGGCAAAGAAACCUCCGGGGCAGAUCGAGGGCUCGCGGCCUAUCAGCUAGUUGGGGGGGUAAUGGCCCACCAAGGCGACGACGGGUAGCU
rnacentral:rRNA from 1 species